rnacentral:rRNA from 1 species
GACGAACGCUGGCGGCGUGCUUAACACAUGCAAGUCGAACGGUAAGGCCCCUUCGGGGGUACACGAGUGGCGGACGGGUGAGUAACACGUGAGCAACCUGCCCUUGACUUUGGGAUACCAGCUGGAAACAGCUGCUAAUACCGGAUAUGACCUCUUCUCUCAUGGGUUGAGGUGGAAAGCUCCGGCGGUCAGGGAUGGGCUCGCGGCCUAUCAGCUUGUUGGUGAGGUAAUGGCUCACCAAGGCUUCGACGGGUAGCCGGCCUGAGAGGGCGAACGGCCACACUGGGACUGAGAUACGGCCCAGACUCCUACGGGAGGCAGCAGUGGGGAAUAUUGCGCAAUGGGCGCAAGCCUGAUGCAGCAACGCCGCGUGCGGGAUGACGGCCUUCGGGUUGUAAACCGCUUUCAGUAGGGACGAAGCUAACGUGACGGUACCUACAGAAGAAGGACCGGCUAACUACGUG